rnacentral:rRNA from 1 species
CCUACGGGAGGCAGCAGUGAGGAAUAUUGGUCAAUGGACGAGAGUCUGAACCAGCCAAGUAGCGUGAAGGAUGACUGCCCUAUGGGUUGUAAACUUCUUUUAUAUGGGAAUAAAAUGUUCCCCGUGUGGGAUUUUGUAUGUACCAUAUGAAUAAGGAUCGGCUAACUCCGUGCCAGCAGCCGCGGUAAUACGGAGGAUCCGAGGGUUAUCCGGAUUUAUUGGGUUUAAAGGGAGCGUAGGUGGAUUGUUAAGUCAGUUGUGAAAGUUUGCGGCUCAACCGUAAAAUUGCAGUUGAAACUGGCAGUCUUGAGUACAGUAGAGGUGGGCGGAAUUCGUGGUGUAGCGGUGAAAUGCUUAGAUAUCACGAAGAACUCCGAUUGCGAAGGCAGUUCACUGGACUGCAACUGACACUGAGGCUCGAAAGUGUGGGUAUCAAACAGGAUUAGAUACCCCUGUAGUC